rnacentral:rRNA from 1 species
GACGAACGCUGGCGGCGUGCCUAAUACAUGCAAGUAGAACGCUGAAGAGAGGAGCUUGCUCUUCUUGGAUGAGUUGCGAACGGGUGAGUAACGCGUAGGUAACCUGCCUUGUAGCGGGGGAUAACUAUUGGAAACGAUAGCUAAUACCGCAUAACAAUGGAUGACACAUGUCAUUUAUUUGAAAGGGGCAAUUGCUCCACUACAAGAUGGACCUGCGUUGUAUUAGCUAGUAGGUGAGGUAACGGCUCACCUAGGCGACGAUACAUAGCCGACCUGAGAGGGUGAUCGGCCACACUGGGACUGAGACACGGCCCAGACUCCUACGGGAGGCAGCAGUAGGGAAUCUUCGGCAAUGGGGGCAACCCUGACCGAGCAACGCCGCGUGAGUGAAGAAGGUUUUCGGAUCGUAAAGCUCUGUUGUAAGUCAAGAACGAGUGUGAGAGUGGAAAGUUUACACUGUGACGGUAGCUUACCAGAAAGGGACGGCUAACUACGUGC